UACGUAGGGCGCAGGCGUUAUCCGGAAUUAUUGGGCGUAAAGAGCUCGUAGGCGGUUUGUCGCGUCUGCUGUGAAAGACCGGGGCUCAACUCCGGUUCUGCAGUGGGUACGGGCAGACUAGAGUGAUGUAGGGGAGACUGGAAUUCCUGGUGUAGCGGUGAAAUGCGCAGAUAUCAGGAGGAACACCGAUGGCGAAGGCAGGUCUCUGGGCAUUAACUGACGCUGAGGAGCGAAAGCAUGGGGAGCGAACAGG
rnacentral:rRNA from 1 species